rnacentral:rRNA from 1 species
CUGGCGGCGUGCCUGAUACAUGCAAGUCGAACGCACUCUCGUUUAGAUUGAAGGAGCUUGCUCCUGAUUGAUAAACAUUUGAGUGAGUGGCGGACGGGUGAGUAACACGUGGGUAACCUGCCCUAAAGUGGGGGAUAACAUUUGGAAACAGAUGCUAAUACCGCAUAAAACCUAACACCGCAUGGUGUAGGGUUGAAAGAUGGUUUCGGCUAUCACUUUAGGAUGGACCCGCGGUGCAUUAGUUAGUUGGUGAGGUAAAGGCUCACCAAGACCGUGAUGCAUAGCCGACCUGAGAGGGUAAUCGGCCACACUGGGACUGAGACACGGCCCAGACUCCUACGGGAGGCAGCGGUAGGGAAUCUUCCACAAUGGACGAAAGUCUGAUGGAGCAACGCCGCGUGAGUGAAGAAGGUUUUCGGAUCGUAAAACUCUGUUGUUGGAGAAGAAUGUAUCUGAUAGUAACUGAUCAGGUAGUGACGGUAUCCAACCAGAAAGCCACGGCUAACUACGUG